GAAACGACUGCUAAGACUGGAUAGGAAAUAAAAAGGCAUCUUUUUAUUUUUAAAAGACCUUUUUCGGAAGGUAUGCUUAAAGAGGGGCUUGCGUCACAUUAGUUAGCUGGCAGGGUAAAGGCCUACCAAGACUAUGAUGUGUAGCUGGACUGAGAGGUUGAACAGCCACAUUGGGACUGAGACACGGCCCAAACUCCUACGGGAGGCAGCAGUAGGGAAUUUUCGGCAAUGGAGGAAACUCUGACCGAGCAACGCCGCGUGAACGAUGAAGUAUUUCGGUAUGUAAAGUUCUUUUAUUGAAGAAGAAAAAAUAGUGGAAAAACUAUCUUGACGAUAUUCAAUGAAUAAGCCCCGGCAAACUAUGUGCCAGCAGCCGCGGUAAUACAUAGGGGGCGAGCGUUAUCCGGAAUUAUUGGGCGUAAAGGGUGCGUAGGCGGUUUAAUAAGUCUAUAGUUUAAUUUCAGUGCUUAACACUGUCCUGCUAUAGAAACUAUUAGACUAGAGUGAGAUAGAGGCAAGUGGAAUUCCAUGUGUAGCGGUAAAAUGCGUAAAUAUAUGGAGGAACACCAGAGGCGUAGGCGGCUUGCUGGGUCUUUACUGACGCUGAGGCACGAAAGCGUGGGGAGCAAACAGGAUUAGAUACCCUGGUAGUCCACGCCGUAAACGAUGAGUACUAAGUGUCGGGAUUACUCGGUACUGAAGUUAACACAUUAAGUACUCCGCCUGAGUAGUACGCACGCAAGUAUGAAACUUAAAGGAAUUGACGGGACUCCGCACAAGCGGUGGAUCAUGUUGUUUAAUUCGAAGAUACACGAAAAACCUUACCAGGCCUUGACAUACUCUGCAAAGCUAUAGCAAUAUAGUGGAGGUUAUCAGGGAUACAGGUGGUGCAUGGUUGUCGUCAGCUCGUGUCGUGAGAUGUUAGGUUAAGUCCUAAAACGAGCGCAACCCUUGUCAUUAGUUGCCAGCAUGUCAUGAUGGGCACUUUAAUGAGACUGCCAAUGAAAAAUUGGAGGAAGGUGAGGAUCACGUCAAAUCAUCAUGCCCCUUAUGAUCUGGGCUACAAACGUGAUACAAUGGCUGUUACAAAGAGUAGCUGAAACGCAAGUUUAUAGCCAAUCUCAUAAAAGCAGUCUCAGUUCGGAUUGAAGUCUGCAACUCGACUUCAUGAAGUUGGAAUCGCUAGUAAUCGCGAACCAGCAUGUCGCGGUGAAUACGUUCGCGGGGUUUGUACACACCGCCCGUCA
rnacentral:rRNA from 1 species